UACGGGGGGAGCAAGCGUUGUUCGGAUUUACUGGGCGUAAAGGGCGCGUAGGCGGUCAGCACAAGUCAGUUGUGAAAUCUCCGGGCUUAACUCGGAAAGGUCAACUGAUACUGUGCGACUAGAGUGCGGAAGGGGCAACUGGAAUUCUUGGUGUAGCGGUGAAAUGUGUAGAUAUCAAGAGGAACACCUGCGGCGAAGGCGGGUUGCUGGGCCGACACUGACGCUGAGGCGCGAAAGCCAGGGGAGCGAACGGG
rnacentral:rRNA from 1 species